UAACAGGAUUAGAUACCCUGGGUAGUCCACGCCCUAAACGAUGUCUACUAGUUGUCGGGUCUUAAUUGACUUGGUAACGCAGCUAACGCGUGAAGUAGACCGCCUGGGGAGUACGGUCGCAAGAUUAAAACUCAAAGGAAUUGACGGGGACCCGCACAAGCGGUGGAUGAUGUGGAUUAAUUCGAUGCAACGCGAAAAACCUUACCUACCCUUGACAUGUCAGGAAGUCCGGAGAGAUCUGGAUGUGCCCGAAAGGGAGCCUGAACACAGGUGCUGCAUGGCUGUCGUCAGCUCGUGUCGUGAGAUGUUGGGUUAAGUCCCGCAACGAGCGCAACCCUUGUCAUUAGUUGCUACGAAAGGGCACUCUAAUGAGACUGCCGGUGACAAACCGGAGGAAGGUGGGGAUGACGUCAAGUCCUCAUGGCCCUUAUGGGUAGGGCUUCACACGUCAUACAAUGGUGCAUACAGAGGGCCGCCAACCCGCGAGGGGGAGCUAAUCCCAGAAAGUGCAUCGUAGUCCGGAUCGCAGUCUGCAACUCGACUGCGUGAAGUUGGAAUCGCUAGUAAUCGCGGAUCAGCAUGUCGCGGUGAAUACGUUCCCGGGUCUUGUACACACCGCCCGUCACACCAUGGGAGCGGGUUUUACCAGAAGUAGGUAGCUUAACCGUAAGGGGGGCGCUUACCACGGUAGGAUUCGUGACUGGGGUGAAGUCGUAACAAGGUAACCA
rnacentral:rRNA from 1 species